CCUACGGGAGGCUGCAGUGGGGAAUAUUGCACAAUGGGGGAAACCCUGAUGCAGCGACGCCGCGUGAGCGAGGAAGGAUCUCGGUAUGUAAAGCCCUAUCAGCAGGGACGAAAAAAGACGGUACCUGACUAAGAAGCGCCGGCUAACUACAUGCCAGGAGCCGCGGUAAUGCGUAGGGGGCAAGCGUGAUCCGGAUUUACUGGGUGUAAAGGGAGCGUAGACGGUAAGGGAAACCAGAGGGGAAAGGGCAGGGCUCAACCCUGGACAUGCUUUUGGAACUGUGGGGCUAGAGUGCAGGAGAGGUAAGUGGAAUGCGUGGUGUAGCGGUGAAAUGCGUAGAUAUUAGGAGGAACACCAGUUGCGAAGGCGGCUUACUGGACUGUAACUGACGUUGAGGCUCGAAAGCGUGGGGAGCGAACAGGAUUAGAUACCCUGGUAGUC
rnacentral:rRNA from 1 species